rnacentral:rRNA from 1 species
UGGGCAUAAUGCGGUAUAGGCAACGGGUACUGGAAUGUCCCAUUGCUCAAAUGGACGCACACCAUGUGCUGCUCCGCUCAAGGACGAGCCUGCGGUGGAUUAGGCUGUUGGCGGGGUAAUUGCCCACCAAACCUGUGAUCCAUACGGGCCUUGGAAGAGGGAGCCCGGAGAAGGACACUGAGAUAAGGGUCCUAGCCCUACGGGGUGCAGCAGUCGCGAAACCUUUACAAUACACGAAAGUGUGAUAGGGGGACUUCGAGUGUGCCCACUGGGCACUUUUGCCAUGUGCAAAAAGCUUGGCGAAUAAGUGGAGGGCAAGAUACGUGCCAGCCGCCGCGGUAAUACGUACUCCACAAGUGGUAUCCGGUUAUAUUGGGCCUAAAACGUCUGUAGCCUGUUUGGUGAGUCCUUGGUGAAAUCGUCCCGCUUAACGGAAUGAAUUGCCAAGGAUACUACCAGGCUCGGGGAUGGGAGAGGUUACGGGAAUGCUCGGGGUAGCGGUGAAAUGUUAUGAUCCCGAGUAGACCACCAGUAGCGAAGGCGCGUAACCAGAACAGUCCCGACGGUGAGAGACGAAAGCUGGGGGAGCGACCCGGAUUAGAUACCCGGUUAGUCCCAGCCGU